UACGGAGGGUGCAAGCGUUAAUCGGAAUUACUGGGCGUAAAGGGUGCGUAGGUGGUUGGAUAAGUUAUCUGUGAAAUCCCCGGGCUUAACCUGGGAAGGUCAGAUAAAACUGUUUGACUCGAGUAUAGGAGAGGGUAGUGGAAUUUCCGGUGUAGCGGUGAAAUGCGUAGAGAUCGGGAGGAACAUCAGUGGCGAAGGCGGCCAUCUGGGACAACACUGACGCUGAAGCACGAAAGCUUGGGAAGCAAACAGG
rnacentral:rRNA from 1 species